AUUGAACGCUGGCGGCAUGCCUUACACAUGCAAGUCGAACGGUAACGGGCCUUCGGGUGCCGACGAGUGGCGAACGGGUGAGUAAUGCAUCGGAACGUACCUUUCAGUGGGGGAUAACGUAGCGAAAGUUACGCUAAUACCGCAUAUUCUGUGAGCAGGAAAGCAGGGGAUCGCAAGACCUUGCGCUGAUUGAGCGGCCGAUGUCAGAUUAGCUAGUUGGUGAGGUAAAGGCUCACCAAGGCGACGAUCUGUAGCGGGUCUGAGAGGAUGAUCCGCCACACUGGAACUGAGACACGGUCCAGACUCCUACGGGAGGCAGCAGUGGGGAAUUUUGGGACAAUGGGGGCAACCCUGAUCCAGCCAUGCCGCGUGAGUGAAGAAGGCCUCGGGUUGUAAAGGACUCUUUCGGUCCGGGAACGGAAAGUACGUAUGGGCGUAAUACCCUGUGCGGAUGA
rnacentral:rRNA from 1 species